UCGCUUGUUUUACAAAAACAUGUCUUUUUGUUAAUAAUUUAAAGUCUAACCUGCCCACUGAUUUUUAUUAAAGGGCCGCGGUAUAUUGACUGUGCAAAGGUAGCAUAAUCAUUUGUCUCUUAAUUGGAGGCUGGAAUGAAUGGUUGAAUGAAAUAUUAACUGUCUCAGUUUUAAAAGUAUAAAAAUUUAGCUUUUAAGUUAAAAGGCUUAAAUUUAAUUAAAGGACGAGAAGACCCUAUAGAUCUUUAUAAUUUAAUUAUAUUAUAAUUUAGUUAAAUAUUUAUUAAUAUAAUAAAAAUUAUUUUAUUGGGGUGAUAGGAAAAUUUAAUAAACUUUUUUUAUAUAAAAACAUUGAUUUAUGAAUAAUUGAUCCAUUAUUAAUGAUUAUAAGAUUAAGUUACCUUAGGGAUAACAGCGUAAUUUUUUUAAAGAGUUCAUAUCGAUAAAAAAGAUUGCGACCUCGAUGUUGAAUUAAAGUAAUUUUCGGAUGUAGAAGUUUGAAUAAUAGGUCUGUUCGACCUUUAAAUCUUUACAUGAUCUGAUUCCCAACCCGGA
rnacentral:rRNA from 1 species